rnacentral:lncRNA from 1 species
AAUUCCUAAAGCCAAAACUGAAACAUGACUUUCAGCUCCAAUAUUCAGGAACCUAUUAUUGCUUUCAAACUUUCUAUUAAUCUGAAGUUCCUACAACAAAUUACAGAUUUGAAUCAGACUUUCAAUAUCCAAUACCCAGAUAGUAGUAUCAUAGACAUAGAAAUCAUAAAGUGUUAUCAUAUAAGCAUCAUGUCCAGCAAUCAUUUGUUGAUUUCUCUUUUUUAGCCAGU